rnacentral:rRNA from 1 species
GACGAACGCUGGCGGCGUGCUUAACACAUGCAAGUCGAACGCUGAAGCUUGGUGCUUGCACUGGGUGGAUGAGUGGCGAACGGGUGAGUAAUACGUGAGUAACCUGCCCUUGACUCUGGGAUAAGCCUGGGAAACUGGGUCUAAUACUGGAUACGACAUGUCACCGCAUGGUGGUGUGUGGAAAGGGUUUUACUGGUUUUGGAUGGGCUCACGGCCUAUCAGCUUGUUGGUGGGUAAUGGCUCACCAAGGCGACGACGGGUAGCCGGCCUGAGAGGGUGACCGGCCACACUGGGACUGAGACACGGCCCAGACUCCUACGGGAGGCAGCAGUGGGGAAUAUUGCACAAUGGGCGGAAGCCUGAUGCAGCGACGCCGCGUGAGGGAUGACGGCCUUCGGGUUGUAAACCUCUUUCAGCACGGAAGAAGCGAAAGUGACGGUACGUGCAGAAGAAGCGCCGGCUAACUACGUG